AUUUGAGAUCCGAGUAUGAUUGGGGAAAUAUCCUGAAAUAGUCUAUGAUUUGAAGAAAUGGAUAGAUGGCUAGAAUAACAUGCUAGAUGGUAGUCAAGUUACUAACUGCAGAAUUGAUUUGAUAAAAUUCUCAUCGUGUCUCCUGACUUAGGAGAAAUAUUGGGUCUGAUGAAUGGGUAAAAUUCCCAGGUGAAAAGAAUUUGGUCUGUAAGAUUUGGCAGCACCCUGAGGUUUGCCAUAUCUGAUGGCCUGGCUUUAGUGGCAGCACCUAGUGAAGGCCCAGGUGUCCUUCUGACAACCUUUACCACCUACCGUUUUGUCCUUACUUAUGUUGAAUCACUACACACAGGCUGUUGAAUUCAGCUGUCUGUGGAGAAAUUAUACCAACCACAUGGUUAGACAGAAGGAAUACAAUAUAUUGCUUAAUUUGUAUCUGAAAGCUAAGCAACAUGGAAAAAAAUCAAGCAUGCUCAGUCACUUCCAUGAGGACAAACGAAGACACUUCAAGGGUAGCAAACGCAGUCAGAUGAUACUUCCUGACAGCAUCCAAGAGCAAGUCUCACCACCACAUCUGUCAAUAAAAAAGAAAACAA
ensembl:lncRNA LINC01333 long intergenic non-protein coding RNA 1333